GUUCUCAGUAAAACAUUUUUGAUUUACUAUUUUGUCCAUAAACCCCGUUUAUAUCGAGUUGUAUGGAGCUGAUAUGUUUUUUUUUCCGUUUUAGUUGUGGUAAUUGGCUAAAUUCAAGUAAAUCCUGCAACCAAACUGCACAAUAAGUUCCCAAGCUUUAUUUAUUAAAUCCUAAGAUGGAUGUGAGAAAGUUUAACAAAAUGAUUUUUAAAACCUUCACUUCAUCUAGGUUGAGCAAGAUUUUACAUUGAUGUUUGGGGAAACCAUCUCUGCAAAGUUCCUGGAGAAGUGGCCCACUGUCUACAAGUAGAAAGUCCUCAAACAAAGUCGUGGUCUCACACAGUCUGAUGACCUUAAGAACCUUCUUGACAAUGCUGAAGGCACAACAGAAGAGGAAAAUGGAUGGGACAUUGACAUGUCAUCCGUUUUGAUCCUAGUGCACCUCCUGCCACCGUCACCUCUUGGGCGCAAGAGACCAGGAAAACUCUCAGCCAGACAAGCCAGUGAACAUCUUGUGAAGUUUGUCAAGACAGGAACCAGCAUCCAGGAGCACCUUGAUGGCAUCGCAGAAAGCCGUCAACCAUACCUGCUUGCAGUAGGGACUCAGAGGAGCGUGAUUCACAAGUACUUCAUUGUGAUUGACAAACAUGCCAUACCUUGUAAAUCACAAGGUUCUCUUGCCUGUUUUGAUGAGCUUUUUAAAGCUCACUUUGUGUUCGGCACUUCAUAUGAUCAUAAUCUGGUCAAUGUGUACAACUUUCUGCAGACGGCCAUUUAUGAGAUAGAUGUUGAGACAACCAAAGUGAAUCCUAGGGUUGCAGAGUUGAGGGCUCGGAUGCUGCGUUAAAUAGUUGUUUUGCUAUGAUUCAGUUACCAAUCAACACCAAGGUAUUAAAUGUAAAAUGGGCCAAACAUCAUGGAAAUAUGUAUCGUGCAGAUUUAGUUGUUUGUAAAGAAGUUUUUUGUGAAAUGCCAGUUUUCCAUAAGAUCUACAAUGUUGUUGUGAAAGAUGAGAGGUUACUGUUUGUUACAUUUGCUCUGCAAACAGUGUGUCUGAAUGAGCAUUUCAGUGCUUUUCAAGUUUUGUAUACAAGAGAUGGACCUCAUGUUAUUUAUGUAGAAGAGCUUUACUGUUACAGAGCUUUUGAUUUACAGGUGUCAUACAGUCAUGAAGAUGCAAAUGUUUAUAUUGUUCCAUACUGUUUCCUGUGAACAAUAAAAAUGGCUGUUCAAAUACUGA